CGCACCCUACGGGGGGCAGCAGUGGGGGAUAUUGCACAAUGGGGGAAACCCUGAUGCAGCGACGCCGCGUGUGGGAAGACGGUCUUCUGGAUUGUAAACCACUGUCCCCAGGGACGAAAAUGACGGUACCUGGGGAGGAAGCUCCGGCUAACUACGUGCCAGCAGCCGCGGUAAUACGUAGGGAGCAAGCGUUGUCCGGAAUUACUGGGUGUAAAGGGAGCGUAGGCGGAAAGGCAAGUCAGAAGUGAAAACCCAAGGCUCAACCAUGGGACUGCUUUUGAAACUGUCAAACUAGAGUACGGGAG
rnacentral:rRNA from 1 species